UCAGUUUGGAGAUUGGGGGGGUCAAUGUGCAGGUAAAGGAGGUGGCCCCCCCCAAAAAAAAAAUCGGGGGGGGAUAAAUCUACAGGUAAAGGGGGUGCCCCCCCGAAAUUAAGGGGGGGUCGGUUUGUAGGUUGGGGGGGUCAAUGUGCAGGUAAAGGGAGUGACCCCCCCAAAAAAAAUAUGAGGUGUGUUGGGGGGGUCAAUGUGCAGGUAAAAGGGGUGACCCCCCCCCCCAAAAAAUAAGAUUUUAGGGGGGCAAUGUACAGGUGAAGUUUGUGACCCCCCCGAAAAAAAACGAGGUUGGGGGGGAUAAAUCUGCAGGUAAAGGGGGUGACCCCCCCCC